rnacentral:rRNA from 1 species
CUUGGUCAUUUAGAGGAGUAAAAGUCGUAACAAGGUUUCCGUAGGUGAACCGGCGGAAGGAUCAUUAUCGAAAUUAUUGGUGAGGGUUGUAGCUGGCCUUUCGAGGCAUGUGCACGCUCGAGCCCUUAAUCCACUUUACACCUGUGCACUUAAUGUAGGUCGCCCUUAAAAAAGGUGACCUAUGUCUUAUCAUCAACCCAUCGUAUGUCUCAUAGAAUGUAAUCGAUAUCCUCGCCCUGAAAAAGCGUUGAUAAACUUAUACAACUUUCAACAACGGAUCUCUUGGCUCUCGCAUCGAUGAAGAACGCAGCGAAAUGCGACAAGUAAUGUGAAUUGCAGAUUUUCAGUGAAUCAUCGAAUCUUUGAACGCACCUUGCGCUCCUUGGUAUUCCGAGGAGCAUGCCUGUUUGAGUGUCAUUAAAUUCUCAACUCCAAGGGUUUCACGACCUUUCGGAGAUUGGACUUGGAGGUGCUGGCCGCAUAUUGGUCGGCUCCUCUCAAAUGCAUCAGCGGAAUUCAACCUUUGGCUUCCGGAUGUCAGUGUGAUAAUCAUGUUGCGCUGUCGUUUGAUCCCUCAGAGUCCGCUUAUAAUGGUCUUCGGACAAAAUCAUCAUCAAAUUUGACCUCAAAUCACGUAUGACUACCCGCUGAACUUAAUGCAUAUCAUAAGCGGAGGA